UACGUAGGGGGCAAGCGUUGUUCGGAAUUACUGGGCGUAAAGGGCGCGUAGGCGGCACAGCAAGUCGGGAGUGAAAGCCCGGGGCUCAACCCCGGAAUGGCUUUCGAAACUGCUGAGCUAGAGUACAGAAGGGGCAACCGGAAUUCCCAGUGUAGCGGUGAAAUGCGUAGAUAUUGGGAAGAACACCAGUGGCGAAGGCGGCUCACUGGUCCGGUACUGACGCUGAGGUGCGAAAGCGUGGGGAGCAAACAGG
rnacentral:rRNA from 1 species